GAUGAACGCUGGCGGCGUGCCUAAUACAUGCAAGUCGAGUGAACGGACGAGAAGCUUGCUUCUCUGAUGUUAGCGGCGGACGGGUGAGUAACACGUGGAUAACCUACCUAUAAGACUGGGAUAACUUCGGGAAACCGGAGCUAAUACCGGAUGAUAUUUUGAACCGCAUGGUUCAAAAGUGAAAGACGGUCUUGCUGUCACUUAUAGAUGGAUCCGCGCUGCAUUAGCUAGUUGGUAAGGUAACGGCUUACCAAGGCAACGAUGCAUAGCCGACCUGAGAGGGUGAUCGGCCACACUGGAACUGAGACACGGUCCAGACUCCUACGGGAGGCAGCAGUAGGGAAUCUUCCGCAAAGGGCGAAAGCCUGACGGAGCAACGCCGCGUGAGUGAUGAAGGUCUUCGGAUCGUAAAACUCUGUUAUUAGGGAAGAACAUAUGUGUAAGUAACUGUGCACAUCUUGACGGUACCUAAUCAGAAAGCCACGGCUAACUACGUG
rnacentral:rRNA from 1 species